UACAGAGGGUGCAAGCGUUAAUCGGAAUUACUGGGCGUAAAGCGUGCGUAGGUGGAUACUUAAGUCGAAUGUGAAAUCCCCGGGCUUAACCUGGGAACUGCAUCCGAUACUGGGUAUCUGGAGUAUGGUAGAGGAAAGUGGAAUUCCCGGUGUAGCGGUGAAAUGCGUAGAUAUCGGGAGGAACAUCAGUGGCGAAGGCGACUUCUGGACCAAUACUGACACUGAGGCACGAAAGCGUGGGGAGCAAACAGGG
rnacentral:rRNA from 1 species